rnacentral:rRNA from 1 species
UACGUAGGAGGCGAGCGUUGUCCGGAAUUACUGGGCGUAAAGGGCGUGCAGGCGGUUUGUUAAGUGCAGGGUGAAAGCUCCCGGCUCAACUGGGAGAGGUCCUUGCAUACUGGCGAACUCGAGGGAGGCAGAGGAAAGUGGAAUUCCCGGUGUAGUGGUGAUAUGCGUAGAUAUCGGGAGGAACACCUGUGGCGAAGGCGGCUUUCUGGGCCUUACCUGACGCUGAGACGCGAAAGCGUGGGGAGCGAACCGG